rnacentral:rRNA from 1 species
AGCGAACGCUGGCGGCAGGCCUAACACAUGCAAGUCGAGCGCCCAGCAAUGGGAGCGGCAGACGGGAUAGUAACACGUGGGAACGUACCUUUCAGUUCGGAACAACUGCGGGAAACUGCAGCUAAUACCGAAUGUGCCCUAACGGGGAAAGAUUUAUCGCCAAAGGAUUAGCCCGCGUAGGAUUAGCUAGUUGGUGAGGUAAUGGCUCACCAAGGCUCCGAUCCUUAGCGUUCUGAGAGGAAGAUCAGCCACACUGGGACUGAGACACGGCCCAGACUCCUACGGGAGGCAGCAGUUGGGAAUCUUGGACAAUGGGGGAAACCCUGAUCCGAC